rnacentral:lncRNA from 1 species
CAUUCUGUAGGGGCACUAAGUUCCCUAGACUGCAAUAGAACCACAACCCUUGGUACCUCAUCUCUGCCACAAUGCCCUGCAGUCCAAAACAUAUCAAUUCUUUGUGGCAAUCGGGUGUAUCAUAGCCUACCCACCAGCUGGUCAGGAGUUUUCAAAUUGGUACUCCUUUUCCCUGAACUAGCACUAAUCCAGGGAAAUGUGCCCCUGCCAAUCCCAGUUGUAGAUAUGAUAGCUGCCCUAUAUAAGAGGGCAGUUCAGGUUGUGCUACUCUUGGUCACUAUGGGAAUAACCAUAGGUGCUGGAACUGGAAUUGCAGGGAUAAGGACUUCUAUGACCCAAUAUAAUUUCACUUUCAAGUUUGAAAGCAGUUUUCAAAAAAUGUCUGAAACUGUGUUUAGUUUCCAGAAAGAGAUUGAUUCUUUGGCUGCCAUGGUGCUUUAGAACUGAUGGGGGAUGGGGGUGGGGUGUGGUGUAGAUGUCCUGACAACUAAAGAAGGUGGCCUUUGCCUGUUCCUCCAAGAAUGCUGUUUCUAUUUUAACCAAUCCAGGAUAGAAAGAAAUGAAAUCCAGGAGCUA